rnacentral:tRNA from 1 species
GCCUGGCUGGCUACAUCGGUAGAGCAUGCGACUCUUGAUCUCGAGGUUGUGAGUUCAAGCCUCAUGUUGGGUA